rnacentral:rRNA from 1 species
UGAAAUAUGUCUUUUAAUUAAGUUUUCUCGAAAUGGGAAGGGCUAAGAGUAUAUUUAUUUUAUUGUUGAACAAUUAUUUGUAAUAUAUUUUUUGUAAUUAAAUGUUAGUCGUUUUUUGUUAUAUCUGGUUUUUUAAGAAAUUAAUUCAAUUAAGCCGAGUUUAGGAUAUGUUUUAGUAUAAAAUAGGUUCUUUUACUGGGUAAUUUUUAAGGGGAUAAGCUUUUAAGGGUUUUAUUAUAACUAAUGUUGUAUUGAUUUUAAAUAGGAAUAGAAGUUUUCAUUUUUGGCAGUGUGUUAUAACAGAAUAUUUUAGUUAUAAGAUUUUUUGUAGUUUAAUUUUUUUAUUAAAACAGGGAAUUGAAUUAUGGUUUUACUGGGAUUAUGAUUGAAUUAGUAAAUUAUUAUGUUAAUAGAUUUAGGUUUGAGGGGCUUGAUGGAGGAACUCGGCAAAAAUUUUCUUUGCCUGUUUAAUAAAAACAUGUCUUUUUGGGAAUAAUUUAAAGUCUGGCCUGCCCAAUGAUUAUUUAAUGGCCGCGGUAUAUUGACCGUGCAAAGGUAGCAUAAUCAUUAGUUUUUUAAUUGAAAGCUGGAAUGAAUGGUUGAACAAAGGAAAGUCUGUCUUGAUUAGGAUUUAAUUGAAUUUUAUUUUUAAGUUAGAAAGCUUAAAUUUUUUUGGGGGACGAGAAGACCCUAUAGAAUUUUAUAUAAUAACAUAGUUUUAGUUUUUGGUGAUGUUUUUUUAGAAUUUUUUUGUUUUAUUUGGUUGGGGUGAUGGAGAAAUUUGUUUAACUUUCUUUUUUAUUAAUCAUUAAUUUAUGAUUUUUUGAUCCAUUUUUUAUGAUUACAAGAAUAAAUUACCUUAGGGAUAACAGCGUAAUUUAUUUGGAGAGUUCUUAUCGAUAAAUAAGUUUGCGACCUCGAUGUUGGAUUAAAAUUAACUUUUGGUGAAGGGGCUAGAAUGUUAAGUCUGUUCGACUUUUAAAAUUUU